AUCUUCUUCUUCUUUUAUUUAUAUUGGCUCCUGCUUCUUUUCAGAGGACAAUACGGCCAUUGAAGUUAUCAUCGAGUAAACACGUUGUAUCGUUGUGACGUGACAGUUUGUUCUAUAGAAGCAUAUACUACGUUUACGCGAGCGUUACUUCUGUAGUAACUUACGAUAAUUCACUCGUUUACGCGGAGUAAAUUAUAAGUUACUACAAAAUCCCGUUUAAGCGAAGGAAUUCUUAAAAUGCCUCCACGGAAAUAUAAAAGAUAUUUAGAACCUGAUUCAACAGAGGAUAUCCCUCGUCAAACCCUUCAUAGCAAAAGAAAGC
rnacentral:lncRNA from 13 species